AACGCGAAGAACCUUACCUGGUCUUGACAUCCACGGAAGUUUUCAGAGAUGAGAAUGUGCCUUCGGGAACCGUGAGACAGGUGCUGCAUGGCUGUCGUCAGCUCGUGUUGUGAAAUGUUGGGUUAAGUCCCGCUACGAGCGCAACCCUUAUCCUUUGUUGCCAGCGGUCCGGCCGGGAACUCAAAGGAGACUGCCAGUGAUAAACUGGAGGAAGGUGGGGAUGACGUCAAGUCAUCAUGGCCCUUACGACCAGGGCUACACACGUGCUACAAUGGCGCAUACAAAGAGAAGCGACCUCGCGAGAGCAAGCGGACCUCAUAAAGUGCGUCGUAGUCCGGAUUGGAGUCUGCAACUCGACUCCAUGAAGUCGGAAUCGCUAGUAAUCGUGGAUCAGAAUGCCACGGUGAAUACGUUCCCGGGCCUUGUACACACCG
rnacentral:rRNA from 1 species